UAAUAAAAUAUUAAAAUAAAAACUUUAAUUAAAUCUUAGUCGAAUCCUAAUCAAAUUCUAGUCAAAUCCUAGUCAAAUCCUAGACUAAUCCUAGUCAAAUCCUAGACUAAUCCUAGUCAAAUCCUAGUGACAUCCUAGUCAAAUCCUAACAAAUCCUAAGCAAAUCCUAAUCAAAUCUUAAACAAACCUUAACCAAAUUCUAAAUAAAUCAUAGUCAAAUUUUAAUCAAAUUCUAAAUAAAUCUUAGUCAAACCCUAAUAAAUCCUAAUCAAAUCCUAAUCAAAUCCUAAAAAAAUCCUAAAUAAAUCCUAAAUGAAUUCUAAAUAAAUCCUAAUCAAAUUUUAAACAAAUUCCAAACAAAUCCUAACCAAAUCCUAAAUAAAUCCUAAUCAAAUCCUAAUUAAAUACUAAAAAAAUCCUAAUCAAAU
rnacentral:lncRNA from 1 species